UACAGAGGGUGCUAGCGUUGUUCGGAAUCAUUGGGCGUAAAGGGCGUGUAGGCGGUUUGUUAAGUCAUGUGUGAAAUCCCCUCGGCUCAACCGGGGAACGACGCAUGAAACUGGCAAGCUAGAGUACCAAAGAGGGGGGGUGGAAUUCCCGGUGUAGCGGUGGAAUGCGCAGAUAUCAGGAGGAACACCGGUGGCGAAGGCGGGUCUCUGGGCAGUAACUGACGCUGAGGAGCGAAAGCGUGGGGAGCGAACAGG
rnacentral:rRNA from 1 species